rnacentral:rRNA from 1 species
AUGAACGCUAGCGACAGGCCUAACACAUGCAAGUCGAGGGGCAGCACAAGGAGCAAUCUGAGGUGGCGACCGGCGCACGGGUGAGUAACACGUAUGCAACCUGCCUGUAAGCGGGGAAUAACCCGUUGAAAGACGGACUAAUACCGCAUAAUACUAAAUUACUGCAUGGUAAUUUAUUUAAACAUUUAUGGCUUACAGAUGGGCAUGCGCAUGAUUAGCUAGUUGGAGAGGUAACGGCUCCCCAAGGCAACGAUCAUUAGGGGUUCUGAGAGGAAGGUCCCCACACUGGUACUGAGACACGGACCAGACUCCUACGGGAGGCAGCAGUGAGGAAUAUUGGUCAAUGGACGAGAGUCUGAACCAGCCAAGUCGCGUGCAGGAAGAAUGUCCUAAUGGAUUGUAAACUGCUUUUGCAGUGGAAUAAAGUGCAUCACGUGUGAUGUUUUGUAUGUACUCUGCGAAUAAGGAUCGGCCAACUCCGUGCCAGCAGCCGC